GAGCUAAUACCGCGAAAGUUGAGCGUUCACGCUUAUCGGCUGUAAAUCAAGACAGACUCAGGGGUCUGUAGCUCAGUCGGUUAGAGCACCGUCUUGAUAAGGCGGGGGUCGUUGGUUCGAAUCCAACCAGACCCACCAAUUGUCUGGCGGUAGAAACCUGAGACGUCUCUGUAUGGGGGCAUAGCUCAGCUGGGAGAGCACCUGCUUUGCAAGCAGGGGGUCGUCGGUUCGAUCCCGUCUGCCUCCACCAAUCUUCAAUGACAAACGUUCGGGUCAGUUGACUCGAGUCU
rnacentral:misc_RNA from 1 species